rnacentral:rRNA from 1 species
AGGAUGAACGCUGGCGGCGUGCUUAACACAUGCAAGUCGAACGGUGAAGCCCAGCUUGCUGGGUGGAUCAGUGGCGAACGGGUGAGUAACACGUGAGCAACCUGCCCCUGACUCUGGGAUAAGCGCUGGAAACGGCGUCUAAUACUGGAUAUGUGAUGUGACCGCAUGGUCUGCAUCUGGAAAGAAUUUCGGUUGGGGAUGGGCUCGCGGCCUAUCAGCUUGUUGGUGAGGUAAUGGCUCACCAAGGCGUCGACGGGUAGCCGGCCUGAGAGGGUGACCGGCCACACUGGGACUGAGACACGGCCCAGACUCCUACGGGAGGCAGCAGUGGGGAAUAUUGCACAAUGGGCGCAAGCCUGAUGCAGCAACGCCGCGUGAGGGAUGACGGCCUUCGGGUUGUAAACCUCUUUUAGCAGGGAAGAAGCGAAAGUGACGGUACCUGCAGAAAAAGCACCGGCUAACUACGUGCCAGCAGCCGCGGUAAUACGUAGGGUGCAAGCGUUAUCCGGAAUUAUUGGGCGUAAAGAGCUCGUAGGCGGUUUGUCGCGUCUGCUGUGAAAUCUGGAGGCUCAACCUCCAGCCUGCAGUGGGUACGGGCAGACUAGAGUGCGGUAGGGGAGAUUGGAAUUCCUGGUGUAGCGGUGGAAUGCGCAGAUAUCAGGAGGAACACCGAUGGCGAAGGCAGAUCUCUGGGCCGUUACUGACGCUGAGGAGCGAAAGGGUGGGGAGCAAACAGGCUUAGAUACCCUGGUAGUCCACCCCGUAAACGUUGGGAACU